UACGAAGGGGGCUAGCGUUGUUCGGAAUCACUGGGCGUAAAGCGCACGCAGGCGGAUCGUUAAGUCAGGGGUGAAAUCCCGAGGCUCAACCUCGGAACUGCCUCUGAUACUGGCGAUCUUCGAGUCCGGGAGAGGUGAGUGGAAUUCCCGGUGUAGCGGUGAAAUGCGCAGAUAUCGGGAGGAACACCAGUAGCGAAGGCGGCACUCUGGGCCGGUACUGACGCUGAGGAGCGAAAGCGUGGGGAGCAAACAGG
rnacentral:rRNA from 1 species